ensembl:snoRNA LOC120094488 small nucleolar RNA SNORA17
GCUGUCCCUAGAAGCUUGCAGCUGUGGCUGCUGUGUUCCAUGUGUGUCAGUAGGUGGCAGAGAGGAAAGAAAUUAUGUCUAAGCUCAGUAUUCUGACCUAUGAACAUUUGAAUGAUUAGUAGCUUCACACU